ACAUGGCGCACACAGGGUGAGUAACACGUGAGUACCCUGCCCCUGACUCUGGGAUAAGCGUUGGAAACGACGUCUAAUACUGGAUAUGAUCACUGGUCGCAUGGCCUGGUGGUGGAAAGAUUUUUUGGUUGGGGAUGGACUCGCGGCCUAUCAGCUUGUUGGUGAGGUAAUGGCUCACCAAGGCGACGACGGGUAGCCGGCCUGAGAGGGUGACCGGCCACACUGGGACUGAGACACGGCCCAGACUCCUACGGGAGGCAGCAGUGGGGAAUAUUGCACAAUGGGCGAAAGCCUGAUGCAGCAACGCCGCGUGAGGGAUGACGGCCUUCGGGUUGUAAACCUCUUUUAGUAGGGAAGAAGGGAGCUUCGGUUCUUGACGGUACCUGCAGAAAAAGCACCGGCUAACUACGUGCCAGCAGCCGCGGUAAUACGUAGGGUGCAAGCGUUGUCCGGAAUUAUUGGGCGUAAAGAGCUCGUAGGCGGUUUGUCGCGUCUGCUGUGAAAUCCCGAGGCUCAACCUCGGGCUUGCAGUGGGUACGGGCAGACUAGAGUGCGGUAGGGGAGAUUGGAAUUCCUGGUGUAGCGGUGGAAUGCGCAGAUAUCAGGAGGAACACCGAUGGCGAAGGCAGAUCUCUGGGCCGUAACUGACGCUGAGGAGCGAAAGCAUGGGGAGCGAACAGGAUUAGAUACCCUGGUAGUCCAUGCCGUAAACGUUGGGCGCUAGAUGUAGGGACCUUUCCACGGUUUCUGUGUCGUAGCUAACGCAUUAAGCGCCCCGCCUGGGGAGUACGGCCGCAAGGCUAAAACUC
rnacentral:rRNA from 1 species